AUCGCUUCUCGGCCUUUUGGCUAAGAUCAAGUGUAGUAUCUGUUCUUAUCAGUUUCUUAUCUUAGAGUUUUAAAGUGUGGUGUCUCCAACAUGUCGGCGGCCCAUGCUGGCAUGCGGAGGCACCACAGUGUAC
rnacentral:snRNA from 1 species